GGGGGCAUAGCUCAGUUGGGAGAGCAGCAGACUGAAGUUUAAUGGAUUCUGAAGGUCCCGCGUUCAAUCCGCGGUGCCCCCA